AUGGGAAUUAUGCAGUUUACCUACUGGAAGGGCAGCUAUACUCCACAGUACAUGCACCCACACUGCUUCCAUGCAGAAAGUGUGCAGCUUGCUGUCGUUCUGUAUGUGUGCACAGGGGUGAGAACAUCCAUGACAGAGUUACAUCCUGGCACAGCAGUGGGAUGUCACAGAGGUAACCAAAACCUCUCCUCUAUGGUAUGCCACGGAGGAACAGAAAGCAGUGGUGGAGCCAGGUGUUCCUUUGAUGCAGUCCCGCCUGCCUGCCAUGGCGUUUUCUACAAGUGCAUGGGAUCAGAGCACAUCCUCCACCUCCCCAGACUCACUGUUCUCAGCUUUGCUCCAGGGUGCAUUCUUGCUGGUUUGGACUGUGCCAGGCUCAGCGUUCGCAGUUAUACACAAGCACCAGGCUCACAACACAUAUUGUCAGGAAAGCUCCUCUGGCCAAAUCCUUCAGAUUCCUGUAUGCUUUUGUGCUGGUUCUUCAUGUAA
rnacentral:lncRNA from 1 species